GCACCCAUAGCUCAGCUGGAUAGAGCGCUGCCCUCCGAAGGCGGAAGUCAAGCUGAAUUUGGGGUGCG
rnacentral:tRNA from 1 species